GCACCUUGCACCCUUUGGCAUUCCGAAGGGUAUGCCUGUUUGAGUGUCCUUAUAAAAACUCUCUUCGGUUCUGAGCCCUAUUGCCAGGUAAUUCUGGCUUGCUUUAAAUGUAUGACCCAUCUCACGUAAUAAUAUUUCGCAGAGAUGGGGUCCCCUUAAUCUCAGACCUCAAAUCAGGUAGGACUACCCGCUGAACUUAA
rnacentral:misc_RNA from 1 species